UACGUAGGGUCCGAGCGUUGUCCGGAAUUAUUGGGCGUAAAGGGCUCGUAGGCGGUUUGUCGCGUCGGGAGUGAAAACUCGAGGCUCAACCUCGGGCUUGCAGUGGGUACGGGCAGACUAGAGUGCGGUAGGGGUGACUGGAAUUCCUGGUGUAGCGGUGGAAUGCGUAGAUAUUGGGAGGAACACCAGUGGCGAAGGCGGCUCACUGGACCGGAACUGACGCUGAGGCGCGAAAGCGUGGGGAGCAAACGGG
rnacentral:rRNA from 1 species